UUUUUUUUUUUUUGACAUUUUAAUAAUAGCCACUCUCCAGCCAAGUUCUUUCAAGGCCAAUGCGGGGAAGAGCCAUGAAGAUCCAUUUUCCCGAAGAGAAUUUUUGCCUGCCCACUGGCAGAAUGCUUGUUUUCAUCUGUCUUUCUUGUUUUUCAAAGAAAAACCAAAGGUAAAGUGGUAUCAUCUUCCACACCUGAACCAGUUUGUAGCCACCAGAGCCUGCUAGGAAGGGGCCCCUCAAGCAUGCAGUGAUCUUGUCACCUGGAAUUUGAGAGAUCAACAAGCCCCAUAGCAACCGACCAUACACCUGCCCAUCAGCGCCCAUCCUUUCACGGUAUUAGCUCAAUUCUGGCUCUGCAGACACUGGCAGCCACAGGUGACAAAUCCUGGGCCUCUGUGGGCUUCCCUCAUCACCCAGGGCCACAAUGGGCUGCCUGUCCUAGGCAGAGACACAGCAACAUUUUCUUAAACUGAAAUUAAGCAUAAAUUCCCUUCACCAAUAAUCCUCUGAGGGCACAAUCCCUGCCUCCUUCCUUGGAGAUUUUAAAACACAUCUCUCUGACCAAACAGGUAGGUGAGAUCUGACUUUAAAUGGGGGAAAAUCGGGAUGAAUAGGGGUAUCAGGAAUGAAUCCCAAGUGUUUUUGUGUGGGGACAGGCAUCCACAUCCCGAACUGUACCUGGAGAUGGAGAAAAAUGCAGGAGAGGAGGAGAGAAAAAAAGGGGGACAAAGUGGCUAAAAGUCAUUGAAAGCUUCCCUUUUGGUUCUUUCAAGCUCUGGCUGCUUUGCCAAGAUCUUAGGUGAAGGCAGGGUCAGCUCUGGCUGGGAGAGGCUGCUCUGGGAGAUGGGAGAGUCACGUCAACUCCAGAAAGCUCAUUUGAUCAUCUGUAAAAUGGGGAAUCCCAUAGUUGGUUGUGAGGAUAAAAUGAAAAACACAUUCUUAACUUGUAUGAGUUACAUGCUGUAUAGUAAGUUACAUGCUAUAUAGUAAGCUCACAAAAAUGAUUCACUGUUAUCAUAAUUGAAGGACAGUGGUUUGGUGUGCUAAGCACUAAAUACAAGCCAGAAAGAUGUCUGAGAGAAGCAGACAAAGAAAACUGUAGCUCAGAAUGAACAGCAGCAAGAAUGGCAUGUCCUCCAAAUUGAGCUCGGGCAGCUGAAUCUGAACCUGUCCUACACAUGUGAGUCUACGGUAUGAGGUAACAGUCUCCACCUAUAGCUAUGUUCUCUGCCUAUAAGGUCAUUCAUUUUUGAACAAAGCUGACCUCAGACUAUACUGUGAUCAUUUAAGGAAGAGUGAAAAAUACUGGAGAAGUCUAGUCUUCAAGCACUAGAUACAGAAAUCCUCAUAUUCUGGGGUGUUGCCUUUCAGACAGAGAGUGAGAGCCACAAGCACUGAUCCAAAAAUCCCCUUUUCCAAACACAUUUUCCAUCUUCUACCAAGGUUCACCUCCCUGUUUAGUGCACACUGGUGUCUACAGUUGCUACAGCAAGAGUCUCUCCUUAUCCUCCAAGGCAGGAGUUCUGUGAAGACCCCAUGACAAGGGGACAAAAUGAAACAUGUUUAGGGACAACACAGGAAAAACCCAUAUUAUCAAUGCUCCAAAACCUGGAUACCUCAGACUUGGCCAGUUAUGUGUGAGCAGAGAAGUGUGUCAUCUACAUGGAAGUCAUGGCCUAAAUGGGUCUGGAACGGUGGCAAGAUAAGGCUCUAAGACAAAGUGCCAGGAGAAAGAUCAAUUCAAUCAUCUAUUUCUGCCAGGAAGAAAAGACCAGGAAGGAAUCAAAUGUACCGUUUGUCCUCUGGGGACCUCUGUCUUGAUCCCCAAUGAAUCUCCUUUUAGAUGCCACCUGCAGCAAUUCCCAUACUUCACAACGCUCUCCAUGGCUUCCGUUGGCCUUAUGGUCAGCUCUGCCAAGAUCUGUAUUCUUGGGAAAGACCGAAUCCCUCUGAAUCUCAUUGUCUUCCUCUAUAAAUGGAAAUAAUUUUGUUCCGCACAAAUCACAAUUAGCAUGUUUGUGGGAAGUUAAACUGUGAACCUCAGCAUAAACGAAAAGCUAUGCACCACUCUUGCUUACUUAAAAACGUGUAAAGCUGUCAGACACCAUACACCAUCUAAGUACAGCAGCGUUAGGUUUGAGCCCAACAGUGAUUAGACAGGGUACGGGGUGAAGAGGGUGUCUCAGAGCAGUGGGUCUCCUGGCUGUCGGGAAGCUGGAUCGGUGGCCAUGCCGGGAGUUGAACCCGAAGGUACUCUGUGUGCCC
ensembl:lncRNA